UGGGGAAUCUUGCGCAAUGGGCGAAAGCCUGACGCAGCAACGCCGCGUGUGUGAUGAAGGUCUUCGGAUCGUAAAGCACUGUCGCGAGGGACGAAUAAGGGUCGGGCUAACAUCCCGGUCCGAUGACGGUACCUCGAGAGGAAGCACCGGCUAACUCUGUG
rnacentral:rRNA from 1 species